UACCUGGUUGAUCCUUCUAGUAGUCAUAUGCUUGUCUCAAAGAUUAAGCCAUGCAUGUGUAAGUAUGAAAAAAUUCAGACUGUGAAACUGGGAAUGGCUCAUUAAAUCAGUUAUAGUUUGUUUGAUGGUAUUUGCUACUCGGAUAACCGUAGUAAUUCUAGAGGUAAUACGUGCAACAAACCCUGACUUCUCGAAGGGAUAGAAUUAUUAGAUAAAAGGUCGACGCGGGCUUUGCCCGUUGCACUGAUGAUUCAUGAUAACUCGACGGAUUGCACGACCUUUGUGCCGGUGACGCAUCAUUCAAAUUUCUGCCCUAUCAACUUUCGAUGGUAGGAUAGUGGCUUACUAUGGUGGUGACGGGUGAUGGAGAAUUAGGGUUCGAUUCUAGAGAGGGAGCCUAAGAAACGGCUACCACAUCUAAGGAAGGCAGCAGACGUGCAAAUUAUCCAAUCCGGACAUGGGGAGGUAGUGACAAUAAACAACAAUACCGAGCUCUAUGAGUCUGGUAAUUGGAAUGAGUACAAUCUAAAUCCCUUAACGAGGAUCCAUUGGAGGGUAAGUCUGGUGCCAACAGCCGCGGAAAUUCCAGCUCCAAUAGCGUAUAUUUAAGUUGUUGCAGUUAAAAAGCUCGUAGUUGGACUUUAGGGUGGUUCAGCCGGUGAGUAGGAGGGGGCGGCGGUCGCUGCAAAACCAGGGGCGCGAGUCCGGGCGGAGCGGCCGUUGGUGUAGAUCUUGG
rnacentral:ncRNA from 1 species